AAGAGGGGAGGAGCCUUUUAUUUUUUAUUUUUCCUCUCUCUUCAUUUUUUUUCUCUCUCUUCAUUUCUUUUUUUUCCUUCUCUCUUCAAAUUUAUUUCCCUCUCUCUUCAAUUAUUUUUUAUCCCUCUCUCUUCAAAUUUUUUUUUAUUUUUUUUCCUCUCUCUUCAAUAUUUUUUCCCUCUCUUUUCAAUUUUAUUUAUUUUUUUUCCCACUCUCUUCAAAUUUUUUUUUUCCUUUCACAUCAAUUUUUUUCUCCCUAUCUCUUCAAUUUAUUUUCCCUAUCUCUUCAAUUUUUUUCCCUCUCUCUUCAAUUUUUUCUCUCUUCAUAUAUAGAGAAGAAGAUUUAUCUAGUUUUUAAGUUCAAUCUAAUUUUUUAUUUAUUAUUAUAAAAAUUUAAAAUAUAUAAAUUAAUCGGAAUGGGAUUCAUGCAUAUCAAAUACAAACAAACGAAUUUGUCCAUUCCGAUUCUCAUUCUAGG
rnacentral:lncRNA from 1 species